AGACCUUCCCCUAGAGCUGGCAGCCUGAGUUCAGACUUCUAGCCUCCUAAACUGAAGUUACGACUUAAAUGCAAUGCACCUCUCCCAAUUAAAAAAGACUAUGGCUCCUACUUGGACUGUCCAACCCACAAAAGGACUUAAACUCAAAUUCAAACAUUACAAGGAUCAGAAGCAGACAACACUUGGUGUAGACUGCUCUUGCCAAGACUCUGGACCAGGCGGCCUUCCUCCAUUCUGAUGUGGAGCUUCAAGAUACACAAUCAUUGCCAAUCCAAAUCCAAAUCCAAAUAACAAAUCCCAUACCUGGGCCUUAUCCUGUUCAAAUGACUGCAAUAUAACAAGACAGUAGACACUGGUCUUUUAGAAUUCCCUACGUUCUUUAAAGUUGCACCUGGAUAAACAGAACAGGAGAAAUGGAGCAAAACAUUGCUCAAAUAU